AUGAAUGGCCAUUUCUGCUGUGGUUCAGAAGUCUAUGACCACCACAACCAGUUCUUGAAAUGCUGCUCAGGUCAUCUCUACAACCUAACCCAUUUAAGUGGAAAAGCAGAGUGCUGUGGAAACCUAUUGCUGCAAAAUAAUAAAAAAAUUUGCUGUUCCUCCUCAACCAAUUCCAUAAUGUAUGAUACCAAACCAAACCACCAUUGCUGUGGGCAUUACUACUACAACACGUCCUUGUGGAGCUGCUGUGCUGAACGUCUCAAACCAACACCAAAGCCUAACAGCCUUCGUGCAGAAUACAGACUUAAACCACUAAGGGACCUGAUCCCUGAAAUGUGCAAUAAAACAGUGUUCUUUGGCAAAGUGGAGAGUGUGGCACUUGAAAAUGAUAUGCGUCAUGUGUUGUUGAAAGUUGUGUGGCAAGUCAACAUGAAAUCAGAAAAGGUCAUCAAAGACCCUUGGCUUCAUGUGUCCCUGGAUCACUGCAGCUCUCCUGCCACAGAGAACGGCAUGACCUACCUUUGGGAGGAAAACCAUGAUAGGAAGUACAAGCUUCUCUCUCACCAUGUUGACCUAACCUCUGACAUGCAACUGUUAUAUGCUGUAUGUUACCAUAAAAAGGGAUAAAAAUAUGGAUUGAGGUCUACAAUAUUUCCCAUAAUUUUGAAGCAAAUUCAUGCAGGUUGUCAUAAGAUUUUUGUCCUGAAGAGAAUUUGUAUCCAUCAUUAAUGCUAAAUGACCCUUAAGACAAGUUUACCCUUUUAAGAGAAGUCUGUUACUGUACGCAGCAUUAUGGCAGAUGCCUCACAUGUUGUAUAUCUGUGCUUUUUUGCCUCACUGGAUAUUUUUAAUUAAUCUCAAUAAUAUAUCGAUCCUGUUGGGAGUGAUGCAUCUAUUUAUUCAGUCAGGUAAAUUUUAAGGUUUGUUAAUAUACAAAUUUUAAAAAGAGAAAUGGAAUCAGUUAUUGAGUUCUCUUAAAAGUAAUUUUUUUACAAAAGAAAUUAAUGGCUUUUAUCCUAAUCCUUGAAGACAGAGGUUAUUUCAUAUGUUUUUUUUAUAUUUUAAGAUGUUAAUAUAACAACAGCUCAAAUAUAAGCUUGAUGUAGCUAUGCAUUUAUUUUUAUUAUUAUUAUUAUUUUUCAUUUAAUUGUUGUUGUUAUUUUUUUUUUUUUUUUUU
ensembl:lncRNA